rnacentral:tRNA from 1 species
CACCCGAUGACUGAAAAUUAAGUGUAGGUCUUUUAAACCUAUUAUAGUAUAUAAUACUUCUGGUGA